UACAGAGGUCCCAAGCGUUGUUCGGAUUCAUUGGGCGUAAAGGGUGCGUAGGCGGCCAACUAAGUCAGACGUGAAAUCCCUCAGCUUAACUGGGGAACUGCGUCUGAUACUGGAUGGCUUGGAUUCGGGAGAGGAAUGCGGAAUUCCAGGUGUAGCGGUGAAAUGCGCAGAUAUCAGGAGGAACACCGGUGGCGAAGGCGGGUCUCUGGGCAACAACUGACGCUGAGGAGCGAAAGCGUGGGGAGCAAACAGG
rnacentral:rRNA from 1 species